AGUGAACGCUGGCGGUAGGCCUAACACAUGCAAGUCGAACGGCAGCACAGUAAGCGCUUGCUCUUACGGUUGGCGAGUGGCGGACGAGUGAGGAAUACAUCGCAAUCUACUUUUUCUUGGGUGAUAACGUAGGGAAACUUACGCUAAUACCGCAUACGACCUACGGGUGAAAGCAGGGGAUCUUCGGACCUUGCGCGAUUGAUUGAGCUGAUUUCGGAUUAGCUAGUUGGCGGGGUAAAGGCACACCAAGGCGACGAUCCGUAGCUGGUCUGAGAGGAUGAUCAGCCACACUGGAACUGGGACACGGUCCAGACUCCUACGGGAGGCAGCAGUGGGGAAUAUUGCACAAUGGGCGAAAGCCUGAUCCAGCCAUACCGCGUGGGUGAAGAAGGCCUUCGGGUUGUAAAGCCCUUUUGUUGGGAAAGAAAAGCAGCAGGUUAAUACCCCGCUGUUCUGACGGUACCCAAAGAAUAAGCACCGGCUAACUUCGUG
rnacentral:rRNA from 1 species